CACGUAGGGGCGAGCGUUGUCCGGAAUUACUGGGCGUAAAGGGCGCGCAGGCGGUUAUGUUAGUCUGCUGUGAAAAGCAUCGGCUUAACCGGUGUCUUGCGGCGGAUACUGCAUAGCUUGAGUACUGGAGAGGGAAGUGGAAUUCCUAGUGUAGCGGUGAAAUGCGUAGAUAUUAGGAGGAACACCAGUGGCGAAGGCGACUUACUGGACUGUAACUGACGCUGAGUCACGAAAGCGUGGGUAGCAAACAGGAUUAGAUACCCCUGUA
rnacentral:rRNA from 1 species